rnacentral:rRNA from 1 species
GAUGAACGCUGGCGGCGUGCCUAACACAUGCAAGUCGAACGGAGAUUACGGACGGAAGUUUUCGGAUGGAAGACUGUAAUUCUUAGUGGCGGACGGGUGAGUAACGCGUGGGCAACCUGCCCUAUACAGGGGGAUAGCAGCUGGAAACGGCUGGUAAGACCGCAUAAGUCGGCGAGACCGCAUGGUUUUGCCGGGAAAUGAGCAAUCAGGUAUAGGAUGGGCCCGCGUCCGAUUAGCCAGUUGGCAGGGUAAAAGCCUACCAAAGCAACGAUCGGUAGCCGGACUGAGAGGUCGGACGGCCACAUUGGGACUGAGACACGGCCCAAACUCCUACGGGAGGCAGCAGUGGGGGAUAUUGCACAAUGGAGGAAACUCUGAUGAAGCGACGCCGCGUGAGUGAAGAAGUAGUUCGGUAUGUAAAGCUCUAUCAGCAGGGAAGAUGAUGACGGUACCUGACUAAGAAGCCCCGGCUAACUACGUG